rnacentral:lncRNA from 1 species
CAUUUCCCACUAAUUAUUCACGGUUAAAAAAAAUCUCUGAAGAGCUGAAGUCAGUGAAGGAGAAAGGAAAACAACUGAAAGUCAGACUCCUUGGAUGUAGUUCCUCACAUCUAGUAUUAAAUAUUCAUUGUAUUGAAUUCUUACUUUUAGAAGGUUUUACUGCAAUUAAUACUACUUACAGGCAUAGCUACUCUGUGUUGAAAGAAGUUGAUUGGUCUUACUGGGACUUUUAAGCUUAAUUCCUUAGGGUCUGCAAAAGGCUACUUCUGUUAUGGCUGGCUUUUCACCUUUGUGGUUGUGGUCAUCCUGCAUAUCCUGUCCCCUAUUUAAAAUGGUUUCUGUAUCUUGCUUCAAGUUUUAAAAAUAGUGGUCCAAUUUUAGCACUUACACUGCACAGAAGGGCUGGAAAUUAACAGUCCUUGUGUUGACCUUGCAUUUUUGGCCAUGCCCAUUUAAAUUUAUAAAACUUAUUAAUUACAAAAAAAUUCUUUUGCCCUUAAGCAAAACCAGCACUUAUUUAAAAAGCAAUGUACCCAUAUAUUGUUGUUUCUAAUUUUUAAAGCUUUGUUUCUAUAUCUAAUAAACAUAAAUAUGUCACUUUAAGUCCUUUAGCAUUUAAUUGACACAAACAGAAAAUACAGAAUAAUCUUCAAGAUAUACUCUUUUCUUUUAUGCUUUUGUUUUUUGCAGUAUUGAAGACUAAACCCAGGCCCUCAUAUGCGCUGGGCAAGGGCUGUACUGCUGAGCUGCAUCGCCAAUAUGUAUACUCUUAAAGUAACAAAGCAAGAUCCAGAAAAAGCAAAAAGAGAGCUAGAUAACAAAGAGCCAAGCAAAACAGUGGUUUGUGGGAAAUGUGCCACCAACAGACAAGACGAGUUUCUACAUUUCUGCACAGCAAAGGAAUCAAUUAGUAGAGUGAAGAGACAACCUACAGGAUGGGAAAUAACUUUUGCCAGCUAUUCCUCAGGCAGAGGACUAAUAUCCAGAAUAUAUAAAGAACUCAAAAAAUUUAGACCACCUAAAAUAAAAGAAAUGGGCAAGUGA